UACGAAGGGGGCUAGCGUUGUUCGGAAUUACUGGGCGUAAAGCGCGCGUAGGCGGUGAUCUUUGUCAGAGGUGAAAGCCCGGGGCUCAACUCCGGAAUUGCCUUUGAAACGGGAUCGCUUGAGUCCGAGAGAGGAUGGCGGAAUUCCUAGUGUAGAGGUGAAAUUCGUAGAUAUUAGGAAGAACACCAAUGGCGAAGGCAGCUCGCUGGGACGGUACUGACGCUGAGACGCGAAAGCGUGGGGAGCAAACAGG
rnacentral:rRNA from 1 species